GGUUAUUUCAAGCAUGAGAGUAAUGAUGACUGAAGAUUCGAACAAUGCUGUCAGCAGUUCGUUCUUAUUGGAUGAUGACUCAAGUAUUCCAUUCACUGUGGAUGAUAUUUCCAAGACAAUGCAACAAAUAGAAGUUUCUGAUAUUGAUCCUCCACCACUGAUUCGUGAAAACUCAGGCUUCUCAUUCUUAUUACUAAGGGUUGAAUGAUUUCCAGUGGUUGCCUUUUCCUUCCAAUUCUCCUCUCUUCCCACAGCCCUUCUUCACGAUCUACCUGUUGCAAAACCUGUGCAUACGUUCCAUUUUCCAUCUGCUUGAUUCAUAUUUAUAUAUGUUUCAUUUUCCCAGGCUAGUAUUUGCUUUCUCUGUCUGGGUUGAUUCUUUUUCCCCCCUUUCCUGUUGCCAUUUUGUUCUUUACAGUGUGGGGUAUUUGAUUAGUAGAAACUACAGUUCUAGUGCCAAAACACUGAGCAACAAAUAGAAACAUGCCCUGGCGUCCAGGAAGUUGCUCCAGCAAAGGCUUUUUCAUUUGUUUGUGGGGCUUCUCGGUAUUGUAUUUCUUCUUUUGGGUCGGUUUUUUAGUACCUAGACUGUAAUUUAUGAUGGUAGCCACAUUUUUUUUGGCCAUUUUUAUUGUAUAUGGAAGACGGUUUUGUGUUAGUGAUGUAAGGUUCUAUUAUUCAUUUCAAAAUGGGAGGGUCAUGACAAGUGUUUUAUGCUGUCGAUGGCGAAAAAAACAUGUACGAUAUAUACAAAGUUGUAAAAAUGGUAGAACAGC